rnacentral:lncRNA from 1 species
AAAGAACAAAGUAGUUAUAGUAUAUUUUAUUCACCUAGAAACAAAGGGUCGAAAGUCACAGCAUGGAGGUUCAUUUUAUUUUGUAAACUCAUUAAAAAGAUGUCCAUGUACAAAAUAAGGACAUUUUCAACAACAGAACUGCAGACAAAGGAAACUAUAAAAAUUCAAUGCAUUAAUAAAAAGGUUUUAUUUUCUUUCUGCAUAAUUCCUUGCACCUUCCAUAGCAGUGUGCACGCACUCUGAAGUACAGUUGUUAGAAUCAUUAAAAUUCAAGAGGCUGAACAUGAAGCCAUUGCUCUGCUGGAGGAAUGUGCUGCUGAAAGAUCCAAACCCUGGAGCACGUUAACUAAAGUGAGACAAGGCUGAGGGACCUGGCUGAAGGCUGCUAAGAGGUUGCUGUGCAUUGAUCUGCUCACAGUUCCAGCUUGCUUUGCUUCCUGCAGAUACCUGGAACAGUCCUGGGGAGGAGCAGGGUCAGGCUGAGCAGGGCCUGGCCAGAGGUGGCUGCUGCCCUAACACAUCUAAUGCAAAUUAAAAACAUUGCUGCAGCCAAACAGCUGCCAUCCCAGCAAGUGUUAGCUGUGCACCAGUCUGAGCAGCUGCCUGAUUGGGAUUUAGGAUUCACUCCUCAGUCCUGGAUAUUCCUGAUUGCAAGUCUGGAACCCGUGAUACACUGUCCGUAACAGGUCAAUUAUAAAAUUUAAGCUGUGCUGAUUUGUAAUUUAAUUCAUCCCUGUUUCUCACCCCAAAAUAACUCCCAGCACUGAAAACCCAUGCCCUGCUUGAGGCUCCUGUCAGGGUUUCCUUCCUGUGUCCUCAGGGUAGGCCUGGCCUGCAGAGUCAGGGUCAGAACAGCCCCUGUGGGUCCCUGCAGUGCCCUCCAGGUGUGCCAGCCUCAGGAGCCCAGCAAACACCUCCCAUGGGCACAGAGCAGCUCCAGAGCCCGCAGGGGAUGGGUUCAGCUCCCAUGGGCACAGAGCAGCUCCAGAGCCUGCAGGGAUUCAGCUCCCCAUGGGCACAGAGCAGCUCCAGAGCUGCAGUGGAUUCAGCUCCCCAUGGGCACAGAGCAGCUCCAGAGCCUGCAGGGGAUGGAUUCAGCUUCAGAGCCCGCAGGGGAUGGAUUCAGCUCCCCACGGGCACAGAGCAGCUGCAGAGCUGCAGGGUUCAUUGAUUCACGCCCAGCUCUGCUGUCCCUGGCAGGCCGCAGUGCAAGAAGCAGCCCCUGCCCCAAGGCACUGCCCG